UACGGAGGGGGCUAGCGUUGUUCGGAAUUACUGGGCGUAAAGCGCACGUAGGCGGCUUUGUAAGUUAGAGGUGAAAGCCUGGGGCUCAACUCCAGAAUUGCCUUUAAGACUGCAUCGCUUGAAUCCAGGAGAGGUGAGUGGAAUUCCGAGUGUAGAGGUGAAAUUCGUAGAGAUUCGGAAGAACACCAGUGGCGAAGGCGGCUCACUGGACUGGUAUUGACGCUGAGGUGCGAAAGAGUGGGGAGCAAACAGG
rnacentral:rRNA from 1 species